rnacentral:rRNA from 1 species
UACAGAGGGGGCUAGCGUUAUUCGGAAUUACUGGGCGUAAAGGGCUCGUAGGCGCCAACUAAGUCAGACGUGAAAUCCCUCGGCUUAACCGGGGAACUGCGUCUGAUACUGGAUGGCUUGAGUGUGGGAGAGGGAUGCGGAAUUCCAGGUGUAGCGGUGAAAUGCGUAGAUAUCUGGAGGAACACCGGUGGCGAAGGCGACAUCCUUGGACCACGACUGACGCUGAGGAGCGAAAG